GGUGGUGUGCCUGCUGGGGAGGGCAGGGGAAGGCUAGGCAAUGUCUGGCUGCAGCCAGGGCCCAGCAAGGCUGACGGUGACCGUGGCAGGGCCCUGGAGGUGAGGAGAGGGCAGGAGCUGGAGGACGGGGGUCCCCCAACCUGGAGGCUGGGGAACUUUCUGUUUCAUUUGUAAAGCUUUGACUCAGCAGCCACAUGCCAACCCAGAGGUCUCCAAGUUGCUCCUAACGUGGCUGCAACACACGGAUGGGAGACGGCGUGGGUCGGCGUCCUGCUGGUCCUUGCUGGAUCCUUCCCCUUCCGGCCUAGGAUCUGUGAGUGUGAGAACUGAAUGAUACUACGUCAGACGACCGAGGAUGCGAUGGCUGGAUGGCAUCGCCGACUCGAUGGACGUGAGUCUGAGUAAACUCCGUGAGUUGGUGAUGGACAGGGAGGCCUGGCGUGCUGCAGUCCAUGGGGUCGCAAAGAGUCAGACACGACUGGGCGGCUGAACAGAACUGACCUGUAAGGCCAUCAUCGGAGGUACUGCGGGAAGGUGCCCACGCCCCCACUGAGGGGCACCCUGAUGGCUUCCCAUGUUGGCCGUGAUGAAUAAGCUGCCGACUCAUCCAGGAGCAGGUUUUUGCAGGGACUGAAGUUUUCAGCUCUUUGGGGUUAGGAACCAAGGGUCGUGGUGGCUGAACCGCGUGGUGUGUGUGCUGCGUCGUCAGAGGCCGCCUCGCGCUCCCACCAGCCACGAGGCGGCCUCUGCUGGUGCCAGCGUUUCGGUUUGGGCCUUACAGACGUGUAGGGACAAAGUUCUUUUAUUUUAGGCAAACAUUUUCAUGUGUUAGAUCUGACGUCCUGACAUGGGUUCCCCCCCAACUCCGAGCUUGGUGCCAGGGAGACCCAGCAGUGGCCCUGGGGAGGAGGCACCCCCCAUGGGCAGGUGAGGAUGGGGGUGGGCAGGAGCCCCCCCGGGGGGUAGCCUCCCUGCUGUGUUUUGCAAGCCAGACUGGGGAGUGGGGGCUUCUUCCUGAGAGUAGUGGGCGUCCCCCGAGGGCUCCAAGUUGGGAGUUGUGGGGAGGGAGGUAAGACAAGCCUGGAAGUGCCUUGGGGCUGCUGCUGAGGCCCACAGUGCCUGAACAGAUGAAAGAGUGAGGCACACUGGACCGGCCGGGGAAGGUGCGGGCAGCAGGGGCGGAGGUGGGAGGGGCUGUGGCUUUACAGGAGGCCUUCAGAGAGCCUCUGGAGGAGCCGGCAUUCCCAGGGCACGCAGAGGCCGCGUGCGAAGGCCCCCAGCCACGUGACAGAGGCAGAGGGCGGGGUGGGGGGGCGAGCCCCGGGCCCGCAGGUCUCCCCAGGUUCACAGGCCCAGAAGCUGAGCAGGUCUCCCCCUCCUGGGGUCGGGGGGGCUUCAUCACAGAAUACAACUGAGGAAGUCAUUGGCCACUGACCGUGUGCUCACCCUCCGGCCUGUCUCCCCUCCUCAAGGCGGUGGGGGUCCUGGAGUCCCUCCCGACUCAGGGCAGGCUCUCCUGCCGUCAGCCCCCUUCCUUGGGUCUUUUCCCAGAGCUUCCCCGUGAACAUCACUCCAGCAGCACAGAAGAGGGACUCGCUGUGAACAUAAAUGGCAAGGCCCCCACGUCCGCUUCACGGCUCUCGGGGGUUUCAGGACUGGGGAGAAAGGCAGCAGGCGCUCUCACCGGUGACGCUGUCUGGACCCCACUGCUGGGGCGCCAGGGGAGGGAGGCGUGGGCCGG
ensembl:lncRNA